rnacentral:rRNA from 1 species
GUUCUUGGUCAAUUAGAGGAAGUAAAAGUCGUAACAAGGUUUCCGUAGGUGAACCUGCGGAAGGAUCAUUACUGAAUCAAAGUAAUCCUUUAGGAGAGCGGCCUCGGGAGUCGAAAGGCUCUCGGGGGACCCACCCUCCACACCCUUGUGUACCUUCUAUGUUGCUUUGGCGGGCCGACCCGGUUUCGACCCGGGCGGCCGGCGCCCCCAGCCCCCUAAAAAAGGGCCAGGACGUCCAGGCUAAGUGCCCGCCAGUAUACAAAACUCGAACUAUGAUUUCUGUGUAGUCCUGAAUAAAUUUUUUAAUAAAUUAAAACUUUCAACAACGGAUCUCUUGGUUCUGGCAUCGAUGAAGAACGCAGCGAAAUGCGAUAAGUAAUGUGAAUUGCAGAAUUCAGUGAAUCAUCGAAUCUUUGAACGCACAUUGCGCCCCCUGGCAUUCCGGGGGGCAUGCCUGUUCGAGCGUCAUUUCAACCCUCAAGCUCUGCUUGGUAUUGGGCGACGUCCGGUCAAACGGACGCGCCUGGAAGACCUCGGCGACGGCGUCUCAGCCUCGAGCGUAGUAAUUUUCUAUCUCGCUUUGGAGGAGGGGACGGCGCCUGCCGGACAAUCGACCUUCAGUCUAUUUUUUCUAAGGUUGACCUCGGAUCAGGUAGGGAUACCCGCUGAACUUAAGCAUAUCAAUA